UUUAGAGGCCCAAAUUAUCCAAAGGAUGAUGUAUGAUAUAUGGUGUCACAACUCCCUUUAAUUCCCCAUAUAAAAAUGUCAACUGAACGCAAUGCUAGCAACAUGGCAAGGUCGGGAACUUUUUUGAACAUUGUUCAGCAGAUGGAGCUGUUCUACAAAUUUUUGACUAUUUUUCAAAUUUACGUCAUAAUGACACAUAUUAAAUUCUGUGGUCUAAGGCUGUUUACGGUGUUUACGACUAUCUACGAACCUGUGCCAGGAAUUAUAUUAGUUAAUGAAUCACAAGUAUGGUCUUUAAAGGAAAAUUCAUUUAUUUAGCAGUAAAAUGUUUUCACUACAAUAAUCUCUUGAGUAGAGACAUCAGCUAUCAUAAACAUAAAUAAAUUCAUAUCGGAGGCCCGAAAACAACUGUGAACGCAUUAUAAGGUGAUUGAUGUCUGUACAAACGGUAGUUGCACUUGAGUUUUCGAAAGUGUUAGAAUACAGCAACGCCAAAAACAACAAGUUGUGUAGAAAAAGCAUCAAUCCAUCGAGUAAUCUUUGUAAUCAAACCCAUUUGGAUGUAGGAACCAGCCUUGUUUCAAUGAUUUUAACUGAAAUUCCGCAUAACAUAAGAAAUGAGAGUAAUUAAUAAAGUUAUUAAUAUUUUUAAUCAAAACUACAGAUGAGAAGUAUAAUACACAAUUAGCAA